rnacentral:rRNA from 1 species
GAUGAACGCUGGCGGCGUGCCUAAUACAUGCAAGUCGAGCGAACGGACGAGAAGCUUGCUUUUCUGAUGUUAGCGGCGGACGGGUGAGUAACACGUGGAUAACCUACCUAUAAGACUGGGAUAACUUCGGGAAACCGGAGCUAAUACCGGAUAAUAUUUUGAACCGCAUGGUUCAAAAGUGAAAGACGGUCUUGCUGUCACUUAUAGAUGGAUCCGCGCCGCAUUAGCUAGUUGGUAAGGUAACGGCUUACCAAGGCAACGAUGCAUAGCCGACCUGAGAGGGUGAUCGGCCACACUGGAACUGAGACACGGUCCAGACUCCUACGGGAGGCAGCAGUAGGGAAUCUUCCGCAAUGGGCGAAAGCCUGACGGAGCAACGCCGCGUGAGUGAUGAAGGUCUUCGGAUCGUAAAACUCUGUUAUUAGGGAAGAACAAAUGUGUAAGUAACUGUGCACAUCUUGACGGUACCUAAUCAGAAAGCCACGGCUAACUACGUG